GCAGUAUCCUAACUGUGCUAAGGUAGCAUAAUCAUUAGUCUUUUAAUUGGAGACUGGUAUGAAUGGCUUCACGAGAAAUUGACUUUUUUUGUUAUAUAGCUUGAAUUUAAUUUUUUAGUGAAAAAGCUAAAAUUUUUCAGAAAGACGAGAAGACCCUAUAGAGUUUUAUAUUUUAUCAUAUUUUUUCUUAUUAGAUUUUUAAAGAUGAAGUAUAUGAGAAUAUUUUGUUGGGGCGACAUUAAGAUAUAAAAAACUCUUUAUUUUUUAAAUUUUUAUAAAAAUAUAUUGUGAUCCUCUAAAAGGGAUCAAAAGAAAAAAUUACCUUAGGGAUAACAGCGUAAUCUUUUUUGAGAGUUCUAAUCGACAAAAAGGUUUGCGACCUCGAUGUUGGACUAAAAUUUAGGCAGGGUGCAGCAGUUCUGCUUUAAGGUCUGUUCGACCUAUA
rnacentral:rRNA from 1 species